GAUAGAAAUCUUCACUUGUAAAUAAACUUUGACCAUGAAUCAAGUAAGAGUUUACAGAUUUGAAUUAUUUAUAUUCAUAUUUAUAUCAACUCUGUGGAACGUGUUUGAAGGUUUUCCUGGUUUACAAAGCCGCCUUCCAAAUGGGGAUAAAAUACCUCAUCCAUGUAUUCCAGGCCAAUACUGGCAUGCAGUAGGACACUGGCAUCCAAGUCGAGGAGUCGAAAAUAACCAAUUUGGAUUAGAUUUCAAAGCAGCAGGAAUGCUUUACACCGUAGCUUUCCAUCACCAAGACUCGGACGGAGAUGGCAAAACCAAUGGAUUCGAACUAAACGUUAAUUAUACUAAUAAUCGAUACGUUAUGGAGGGAGUCCCUUUAAGUCAUCCAGGAAUAUGUGAGCCUGUAGAUUCAGAAAAAUGUAGAAAACUUCAACAAUUUAAAUGUCCA